GACGAACGCUGGCGGCGUGCUUAACACAUGCAAGUCGAACGGAAAGGCCCUGCUUUUGUGGGGUGCUCGAGGCGAACGGGUGAGUAACACGUGAGUAACCUGCCCUUGACUUUGGGAUAACUUCAGGAAACUGGGGCUAAUACCGGAUAGGAGCUCCUGCUGCAUGGUGGGGGUUGGAAAGUUUCGGCGGUUGGGGAUGGACUCGCGGCUUAUCAGCUUGUUGGUGGGGUAGUGGCUUACCAAGGCUUUGACGGGUAGCCGGCCUGAGAGGGUGACCGGCCACAUUGGGACUGAGAUACGGCCCAGACUCCUACGGGAGGCAGCAGUGGGGAAUAUUGCACAAUGGGCGGAAGCCUGAUGCAGCAACGCCGCGUGCGGGAUGACGGCCUUCGGGUUGUAAACCGCUUUCGCCUGUGACGAAGCGUGAGUGACGGUAAUGGGUAAAGAAGCACCGGCUAACUACGUG
rnacentral:rRNA from 1 species